rnacentral:rRNA from 1 species
UACGAAGGGGGCUAGCGUUGCUCGGAAUGACUGGGCGUAAAGGGCGCGUAGGCGGAUUGCUUUGUCAGACGUGAAAUUCCAGGGCUCAACCUUGGGGCUGCGUUUGAGACGGGUGAUCUUGAGUUCGGAAGAGGGUCGUGGAAUUCCCAGUGUAGAGGUGAAAUUCGUAGAUAUUGGGAAGAACACCGGUGGCGAAGGCGGCGACCUGGUCCGAGACUGACGCUGAGGCGCGAAAGCGUGGGGAGCGAACAGG